GACGAACGCUGGCGGCGUGCCUAAUACAUGCAAGUAGAACGCUGAAGGAGGAGCUUGCUUCUCCGGAUGAGUUGCGAACGGGUGAGUAACGCGUAGGUAACCUGCCCGGUAGCGGGGGAUAACUAUUGGAAACGAUAGCUAAUACCGCAUAAGAGUAGAUGUUGCAUGACAUUUGCUUAAAAGGUGCAAUUGCAUCACUACCAGAUGGACCUGCGUUGUAUUAGCUAGUUGGUGAGGUAACGGCUCACCAAGGCGACGAUACAUAGCCGACCUGAGAGGGUGAUCGGCCACACUGGGACUGAGACACGGCCCAGACUCCUACGGGAGGCAGCAGUAGGGAAUCUUCGGCAAUGGACGGAAGUCUGACCGAGCAACGCCGCGUGAGUGAAGAAGGUUUUCGGAUCGUAAAGCUCUGUUGUAAGAGAAGAACGAGUGUGAGAGUGGAAAGUUCACACUGUGACGGUAUCUUACCAGAAAGGGACGGCUAACUACGUG
rnacentral:rRNA from 1 species